rnacentral:pre_miRNA from 1 species
AACGUCACCUGAUGUAGGUCGUGCCUGGUGCUUAUUUGUUGUUAUGCGAAAAUACAAAUUGCACUAGUCCCGGCCUGCAGUGAGUGUCGCA